CACGCACCAUAACCAGCAGGACAGUCACCUCGGAGAAGAAAACGAAAUGAUUGUCCCUUUUUAGAACUGAGGAAAGGCAGGCCUGCCAAGUGCUCAUUAACCAGAUCAACCAUCCAGUCUCCUGACUGGAGCAUCAAACUCUGGCUGCUGACCUUCUGGAGUUGCUGACGGGGAGAUCAGUGUUCUCAACAUUCCAGGGAUUAUACUGCACAC
rnacentral:lncRNA from 1 species